rnacentral:rRNA from 1 species
GGUUCGAUUAUGGCUCAGAUUGAACGCUGGCGGGAUGCUUCACACAUGCAAGUCGAACGGCAGCACGGACUUCGGUCUGGUGGCGAGUGGCGAACGGGUGAGUAAUGUAUCGGAACGUGCCUGAUAGCGGGGAUGCUACGCGAAAGCGUAGCUAAUACCGCAUACGCCCUUCGGGGAAAGCGGGGACAGCCAGGCCUCGCACUAAUAGAGCGGCCGAUAUCGGAUGCUGGUUGGUGGAGUAACGGCUCACCAAGACACGGCGACGAUCCAUGUAGCUGGUUUGAGGACGACCAGCCACACUGGGACUGAGACACGGCCCAGACUCCUGCAGGAGGCAGCAGUGGGGGAAUUUUGGACAAUGGGGGAAACCUGAUCCAGCCAUCCGCGUGUGCGAUGAAGGCCUUCGGGUUGUAAAAGCACUUUUGGCAGGAAAGAAACAGCGCGGGAUAAUACCCCGUGCACAAGCAAAACCAGUACCUGCAGAAUAAGCACCGGCUAACUACGUGCCAGCAGCCGCGAUAAUACGUAGGGUGCAAGCGUUAAUCAGAAUUACUGGGCGUAAAGCGUGCGCGAGCGGUUCGGAAGAAAGAUGUGAAAUCCCAGAGCUUAACUUUGGAACUGCAUUUUUAACUACCGAGCUAGAGUGUGUCAGCGAGAGGAGGUGGAAUUCCGCGUGUAGCAGUGAAAUGCGUAGAUAUGCGGAGGAACACCGAUGGUGAAAGCGCUCUGGGAUAACACUGACGCUCAUGCACGAAAGCGUGGGAGCAAACGAUUAGAUACCCUGGUAGUCCGCGCCUAAACGAUGUCAACUAGCUGUUGGGGCCUUCGGGCAGCGGUAGCGCAGCUAACGCGUGAAGUUGACCGCCUGGGAGUACGGUCGCAAGAUUAAAACUCAAGGGAAUUGACGGGGACCCGCACAAGCGGUGGAUGAUGUGGAUUAAUUCGAUGCAACGCGAAAAACCUUACCUACCCUUGACAUGUCUGGAAUCCCGAAGAAGAUUUGAGGUGCUCGCAAGAGAACCGGAACACAGGUGCUGCAUGGCUGUCGUCAGCUCGUGUCGUGAAGAUGUUGGGUUAGUCCCGCAACGAGCGCAACCCGCUAUGUUAGUUGCUACGAAAGGGCACUCCUAAUAGGACUGCCGGUGACAAGCCGGAGGAAGGUGGGGAUGACGUCAAGUCCUCAUGGCCCUUAUGGGUGAGGCUUCACACGUCCUGCUACAAUGGUCGGGAUGAAGAGGUCAUACGCCCGCGAGGAGCCAUCCCAGAAACCCGAUCGUAGUCCGGAUCGCAGUCUGCAACUCGACUGCGUGAAGUCGGAAUCCGCUAGUAAUCGCGGAUCAGCAUGUCGCGGUGAAUACGAUUCCCGAGGUCUUGUACACACCGCCCGUCACAUGGGAGUGGGUUUGCAAGUAGUUAUACAGCCUAACCGUAAGGAGAGGCGAUUACCACGGUAGGAUUCAUGACUGGGGUGAAGUCUUAACAAGGUAA